GGACUGGUCAUCUAAUGGUAGGAUACCAUCUCUUCAAGGUGGCAGAUGUCGGUUCGACCCCGAUCCAGUCUA